GGCGGAGGAGGGCGGAUGAUGCAAGGGCUUGGCAUCACGCUCAGCGAUCGCCACACUGCCGAGGGAGGCAGCGCUGGGACCCACCGACCGCCCGGCCCUGGCAGCGGGUGCGGCGCUGGGACCGCGCAGCCCCUCGGUGCCAGUGGAACACUUGUUGCUGUUUGCUAACAGGCUUUGAAGACUUCCAGAGUCUGCUUAAUAAUGAAGAAGCUGCCAUAGGAGAUAAAACAGUGAAUACAGAUAACGCAACGAAGCCUGAAAAUGGGGACAGAGAAAACUCUCCAGGCCAAAUGGAAAUCUACUGGGACUCUCUAAAUGAACCAAAGAGGAGUUUAUUCCCCUGUUCUAAGAAUUAUGAAAUCAUUCUCAAUUAGAAAUCCUUCUCAAUUCCAAAUAAGGAUUGUUGUUAUUUAUUAACACCAUCUCUAACCAAGGAUAUCUCUAUGGUUUAAAAUGAGAACAAACUGAGCCUCACAACUGUCGUUUUUACAAUUCCAGUCUCGCAUCUUGUUCCUAGUUAUAGCUGUGGAUCAUUCCUGGCUAAACCAGAAGGAGUACUGGUGUAAAAUGAAGGGUGAACACUCUGGAAAUCAUGUCCUGUCAUCUGCUGAGCCCACUCUGCCCCAUGUGUCUUUCAGUCAUAUAAUAAUUUAUUGAACUGUGAACCUAUUCACUAAAACAUUCUAUUACAUAACUAUAAUCUCCUUUCAGUGCAGCUCGAACUAGCACCAGUGGAAGUUUUACCUGCAAAUUCUU